rnacentral:lncRNA from 1 species
CUUUCAGCCUCCUGGGAGCCUGGUCAUGACCCACAGAGACCACACCAGCUGUGGCCAGAGGGAUGGCCUGUGGCAAGGUAGCUGGUGCCUGCGCAAGCCUAUGAGAGCGUCGUGUCUGUGGAUACCCAGAAUAAACUCUGAGCACAGCUGUCUGAAGCAGGAGUUCUGAUCCAGGAAACUCAGAUGGACAGU